UACGGAGGGAGCAAGCGUUAUCCGGAAUCACUGGGUGUAAAGGGUGCGUAGGCGGCUUGGUAAGUCAGCGGUGAAAACCCGCAGCUUAACUGCGGACCUGCCGUUGAUACUGCCCAGCUUGAAAGAGGUUGAGGUCAGCGGAACGUGUCAUGUAGCGGUGAAAUGCAUAGAUAUCAGACAGAACACCAAUUGCGAAGGCAGCUGGCUGGGCCGACUUUGACGCUGAGGCACGAAAGCGUGGGGAGCGAACAGG
rnacentral:rRNA from 1 species